rnacentral:rRNA from 1 species
CGUCAAAUCAUCAUGCCCCUUAUGUCCUGGGCUACACACGUAAUACAAUGGCGUCCAACAGAGGGAGGCAAGACCGCGAGGUGGAGCAAAUCCCCAAAAGGCGCCUCAGUUCGGAUCGCAGGCUGCAACCUGCCUGCGUGAAGUCGGAAUUGCUAGUAAUCGCGGAUCAGCAAGCCGCGGUGAAUACGUUCCCGGGCCUU